GCUGUGUUCACGCCUCAAAGAUGCAAUCAAAUUUCUACAAUGGAGAAGGAAGGAAUCUGUGUUUUCUUAAGUGUUUUAAGGUGGAACUGGAGGAAACUGAACUGCCUUGGCAAGGUGUGGACUGGAUGACUGUUGUGGUAUCCUCCAAUAAGAGACACCCCUAGGAGUUUUCAUUACUGAGUUUGUUCUGGAAGGCAUGAAUCUGCUAUGCAUAUUUGACCCUGCCAAGAUUAGUAAACUGGUCAGUCCAGUAAGUUGCCUGCUGGCUAUUUUGGCCUGCCUGUUGCUCACUAUUGGAUACCAUAUUCUUUGCAGCCAUGGGUACUGGUGACAGCUUCAGCCACAGCAGCUGUGCCGUCAUUCCAAAGUGGGAUGCCACCCUCUGAUCCAGGUAUAACUCCACUGUCUGUGACAUCCUCUACUUCCUCCAUCCCGGUCACCUUCUUGUACCUGAGGACUCAACAGCAUUGUCAACAUCACCAGUGUGUCCUAGCCCAACUCUCGCCCCACUCUUCACUAUGUGCACCAUCUUUUCCCUGGGAAGCCUUCAACCAAUGGAGAAACCAAGCAUGGAGGGAAGCUGAAGUGGAAACCUCCACUUCAAUC